rnacentral:rRNA from 1 species
UGCGUAGGUGGCUGAGCAAGUCGUUGAUGAAAUCCCCGGGCUCAACUCGGGAACUGUCUUCGAAACUGCUCAGCUUGAGGGUGGUUGAGGAAAGCGGAAUUCCCGGUGGAGCGGUGAAAUGCGUAGAUAUCGGGAGGAACACCAGAGGCGAAGGCGGCUUUCUGGGCCAUUCCUGACACUCAUGCACGAAAGCUAGGGGAGCGAACG